rnacentral:rRNA from 1 species
GAUGAACGCUAGCUACAGGCUUAACACAUGCAAGUCGAGGGGCAGCAUGGUCUUAGCUUGCUAAGGCCGAUGGCGACCGGCGCACGGGUGAGUAACACGUAUCCAACCUGCCGUCUACUCUUGGACAGCCUUCUGAAAGGAAGAUUAAUACAAGAUGGCAUCAUGAGUCCGCAUGUUCACAUGAUUAAAGGUAUUCCGGUAGACGAUGGGGAUGCGUUCCAUUAGAUAGUAGGCGGGGUAACGGCCCACCUAGUCUUCGAUGGAGAGGGGUUCUGAGAGGAAGGUCCCCCAGAUUGGAACUGAGGCACAGUCCAAACUCCUACGGGAGGCAGCAGUGAGGAAUAUUGGUCAAUGGGCGCAGGCCUGAACCAGCCAAGUAGGGGGAAGGAUGACUGCCCUAUGGGUUGUAAACUUCUUGUAUAAAGGAAUAAAGUCGGGUAUGUAUACCCGUUUGCAUGUACUUUAUGAAUAAGGAUCGGCUAACUCCGUG